rnacentral:rRNA from 1 species
GCGCGAAACCUUUACACUGCGGGAAACCGCGAUAAGGGGACACCGAGUGCCAGCAUACAAUGCUGGCUGUCCACAUGUGUAAAUAGCAUGUGAUAGCAAGGGCCGGGCAAGACCGGUGCCAGCCGCCGCGGUAACACCGGCGGCCCGAGUGGUAAUCACUAUUAUUGGGUCUAAAGGGUCCGUAGCCGGUUUAAUCAGUCUUCCGGGAAAUCUGACAGCUCAACUGUUAGGCUUCCGGGGGAUACUGUUAGACUUGGGACCGGGAGAGGUAAGAGGUACUACAGGGGUAGGAGUGAAAUCUUGUAAUCCCUGUGGGACCACCAGUGGCGAAGGCGUCUUACCAGAACGGGUCCGACGGUGAGGGACGAAAGCUGGGGGCACGAACCGGAUUAGAUACCCGGGUAGUCCCAGCCGUAAACGAUGCUCGCUAGGUGUCUGGAAUGGUGCGACCGUUUCAGGUGCCGCAGGGAAGCCGUGAAGCGAGCCACCUGGGAAGUACGGCGCAAGGCUGAAACUUAAAGGAAUUGGCGGGGGACACUACACGGGUGGAGCUGCGUUUAUUGGACUCACGCCGGACACUCACGGGGGCGACAGCAAUAUGUAGGUCAAGCUAAAGACUUUACCUGAAUCGCUGGGAGGAGGUGCAUGGCCGUCGUCAGUUCGUACUGUGAAGCAUCCUGUUAAGUCAGGCAACGAGCGAGACCCGUGCCCACUGUUGCCAGCAUAUCUUCGGGAUGAUGGGUACUCUGUGGGGACCGCCGAUGCUAAAUCGGAGGAAGGUGCGGGCUACGGUAGGUCAGUAUGCCCCGAAUCUCCCGGGCGACACGCGGGCUACAAUGGUUGGGACAAUGGGCUCCUACACUGAAAAGUGACGGUAAUCUCAUAAACCCAGCCGUAGUUCGAAUUGAGGGCUGAAACCCGCCCUCAUGAAGCUGGAAUCCGUAGUAAUCGCGUUUCAAUAUAGCGCGGUGAAUACGUCCCUGCUCCUUGGAC